UACGAAGGGGGCUAGCGUUGUUCGGAAUUACUGGGCGUAAAGAGCUCGUAGGUGGUUUGUUACGUCUGCUGUGAAAACCUAGGGCUUAACCCUGGGCUUGCAGUGGAUACGGGCAGACUAGAGGUAGGUAGGGGAGAAUGGAAUUCCUGGUGUAGCGGUGAAAUGCGCAGAUAUCAGGAGGAACACCGGUGGCGAAGGCGGUUCUCUGGGCCUUACCUGACACUGAGGAGCGAAAGCGUGGGGAGCGAACAGG
rnacentral:rRNA from 1 species